rnacentral:rRNA from 1 species
UACGGGGGGAGCAAGCGUUGUUCGGAUUUACUGGGCGUAAAGGGCGCGUAGGCGGUCGUGACAAGUCACUUGUGAAAUCUCCGGGCUUAACUCGGAACGGUCAAGUGAUACUGUCGGACUAGAGUACAGAAGGGGCAACUGGAAUUCUCGGUGUAGCGGUGAAAUGCGUAGAGAUCGGGAGGAACAUCAGUUGCGAAGGCGGCUCUCUGGACCAGCACUGACACUGAGGCACGAAAGCGUGGGGAGCAAACAGG